AGCGUACACGGUGGAUGCCCUGGCAGUCAGAGGCGAUGAAGGACGUGCUAAUCUGCGAUAAGCGUCGGUGAGGUGAUAUGAACCGUUAUAACCGGCGAUUUCCGAAUGGGGAAACCCAGUGUGUUUCGACACACUAUCAUUAACUGAAUCCAUAGGUUAAUGAGGCGAACCGGGGGAACUGAAACAUCUAAGUACCCCGAGGAAAAGAAAUCAACCGAGAUUCCCCCAGUAGCGGCGAGCGAACGGGGAGCAGCCCAGAGCCUGAAUCAGUGUGUGUGUUAGUGGAAGCGUCUGGAAAGGCGCGCGAUACAGGGUGACAGCCCCGUACACAAAAAUGCACAUGCUGUGAGCUCGAUGAGUAGGGCGGGACACGUGGUAUCCUGUCUGAAUAUGGGGGGACCAUCCUCCAAGGCUAAAUACUCCUGACUGACCGAUAGUGAACCAGUACCGUGAGGGAAAGGCGAAAAGAACCCCGGCGAGGGGAGUGAAAAAGAACCUGAAACCGUGUACGUACAAGCAGUGGGAGCCUCUUUAUGGGGUGACUGCGUACCUUUUGUAUAAUGGGUCAGCGACUUAUAUUCUGUAGCAAGGUUAACCGAAUAGGGGAGCCGAAGGGAAACCGAGUCUUAACUGGGCGUUAAGUUGCAGGGUAUAGACCCGAAACCCGGUGAUCUAGCCAUGGGCAGGUUGAAGGUUGGGUAACACUAACUGGAGGACCGAACCGACUAAUGUUGAAAAAUUAGCGGAUGACUUGUGGCUGGGGGUGAAAGGCCAAUCAAACCGGGAGAUAGCUGGUUCUCCCCGAAAGCUAUUUAGGUAGCGCCUCGUGAAUUCAUCUCCGGGGGUAGAGCACUGUUUCGGCAAGGGGGUCAUCCCGACUUACCAACCCGAUGCAAACUGCGAAUACCGGAGAAUGUUAUCACGGGAGACACACGGCGGGUGCUAACGUCCGUCGUGAAGAGGGAAACAACCCAGACCGCCAGCUAAGGUCCCAAAGUCAUGGUUAAGUGGGAAACGAUGUGGGAAGGCCCAGACAGCCAGGAUGUUGGCUUAGAAGCAGCCAUCAUUUAAAGAAAGCGUAAUAGCUCACUGGUCGAGUCGGCCUGCGCGGAAGAUGUAACGGGGCUAAACCAUGCACCGAAGCUGCGGCAGCGACACUAUGUGUUGUUGGGUAGGGGAGCGUUCUGUAAGCCUGUGAAGGUGUACUGUGAGGUAUGCUGGAGGUAUCAGAAGUGCGAAUGCUGACAUAAGUAACGAUAAAGCGGGUGAAAAGCCCGCUCGCCGGAAGACCAAGGGUUCCUGUCCAACGUUAAUCGGGGCAGGGUGAGUCGACCCCUAAGGCGAGGCCGAAAGGCGUAGUCGAUGGGAAACAGGUUAAUAUUCCUGUACUUGGUGUUACUGCGAAGGGGGGACGGAGAAGGCUAUGUUGGCCGGGCGACGGUUGUCCCGGUUUAAGCGUGUAGGCUGGUUUUCCAGGCAAAUCCGGAAAAUCAAGGCUGAGGCGUGAUGACGAGGCACUACGGUGCUGAAGCAACAAAUGCCCUGCUUCCAGGAAAAGCCUCUAAGCAUCAGGUAACAUCAAAUCGUACCCCAAACCGACACAGGUGGUCAGGUAGAGAAUACCAAGGCGCUUGAGAGAACUCGGGUGAAGGAACUAGGCAAAAUGGUGCCGUAACUUCGGGAGAAGGCACGCUGAUAUGUAGGUGAAGCGACUUGCUCGUGGAGCUGAAAUCAGUCGAAGAUACCAGCUGGCUGCAACUGUUUAUUAAAAACACAGCACUGUGCAAACACGAAAGUGGACGUAUACGGUGUGACGCCUGCCCGGUGCCGGAAGGUUAAUUGAUGGGGUUAGCGGUAACGCGAAGCUCUUGAUCGAAGCCCCGGUAAACGGCGGCCGUAACUAUAACGGUCCUAAGGUAGCGAAAUUCCUUGUCGGGUAAGUUCCGACCUGCACGAAUGGCGUAAUGAUGGCCAGGCUGUCUCCACCCGAGACUCAGUGAAAUUGAACUCGCUGUGAAGAUGCAGUGUACCCGCGGCAAGACGGAAAGACCCCGUGAACCUUUACUAUAGCUUGACACUGAACAUUGAGCCUUGAUGUGUAGGAUAGGUGGGAGGCUUUGAAGUGUGGACGCCAGUCUGCAUGGAGCCGGCCUUGAAAUACCACCCUUUAAUGUUUGAUGUUCUAACGUUGGCCCCUGAUCGGGGUUGCGGACAGUGUCUGGUGGGUAGUUUGACUGGGGCGGUCUCCUCCUAAAGAGUAACGGAGGAGCACGAAGGUUGGCUAAUCCUGGUCGGACAUCAGGAGGUUAGUGCAAUGGCAUAAGCCAGCUUGACUGCGAGCGUGACGGCGCGAGCAGGUGCGAAAGCAGGUCAUAGUGAUCCGGUGGUUCUGAAUGGAAGGGCCAUCGCUCAACGGAUAAAAGGUACUCCGGGGAUAACAGGCUGAUACCGCCCAAGAGUUCAUAUCGACGGCGGUGUUUGGCACCUCGAUGUCGGCUCAUCACAUCCUGGGGCUGAAGUAGGUCCCAAGGGUAUGGCUGUUCGCCAUUUAAAGUGGUACGCGAGCUGGGUUUAGAACGUCGUGAGACAGUUCGGUCCCUAUCUGCCGUGGGCGCUGGAGAACUGAGGGGGGCUGCUCCUAGUACGAGAGGACCGGAGUGGACGCAUCACUGGUGUUCGGGUUGUCAUGCCAAUGGCACUGCCCGGUAGCUAAAUGCGGAAGAGAUAAGUGCUGAAAGCAUCUAAGCACGAAACUUGCCCCGAGAUGAGUUCU
rnacentral:rRNA from 1 species